GUAGAUGAGAAAAUCAAGUGAUCAUUACCAUAAACCCUUGCAUUAACAGUGUCCAAUAAUUGAGCUCCUUCAAAACCUAUGUCAAGAGCUCCUUAAUUGAUUUCCGGUUCAGUUUCCUUAGCAUAUCAUAUAUGGUUCCCACUGGGAUGUCUAUACAUCCCUUAAGCUGUGUUCAAUAUUCCAGAAUACCUCCUUAUUAAAUGUAAUUUUCAGUUACAUUUGGUAAGAGCACAGGUGAAAAUAUUAUUUUGCACUUCAAUUUGAUAACACAAAUACCAAACCCAAAUUAUAAAACUGCCUCACUAAAACAAAGUAGACUUUUUAAUUAUUAUUUUUUUAUUUUUUAUCAUUAUGUACUCAUAUAUCAUCAUAAAUAAAAGCCAUAUUAAUGUAUCAUGUCCUUGAGAACAGAUUUUACUGAAGGAUCUUAUGAAUUCAAUGAGGCAGCAAUACUCCUUAAUUAGCAUGCUGGCAGGAAUGAUUUAUUUGCGCAGCAUUUGCAACCAGUGCCUUGAGUAGCUUAAUAAUGAAAUUGGCUUAAACCACACCAUACAGAAAAAUCAUGAUAACUGAAGGAAACACAAGUGGAUAUUAAAAUUACUCACCCAAUAAUCCAGGCACCACCAGUUACAAAUGCAACAACUGGC
rnacentral:misc_RNA from 1 species